GGAGUCCUCUGGGCUUGAAGAAGAUGCCACUGAUGGUAAAAUUCCUCCCUGGGUGCACAUGUUGCUGAAAAGGUAGAACAAGACAAAGGAAUCAGGGAUCGUUCUUCCGAAAACUCUCAGCAGUUUGGAGACAGCCCGAGGCGGAGUCAGCGGAACAGGUGUGCAUGGGCACGGGACACUGGUGCGCUGCAUGCAGUAGAUGUUCAAUAAAGACAACCGAUUGAAGAUGAUUGCAAGGGUCAAGAUGAAGUCACCAGCAGUGAGAAACUGGGAAGAGUGGGAGAAGUGAUUAGUACGGUGUGUUUUACACAACGUCUUGGACAUCUGCCUCAGCAUGCCUGACAAGGACAUUCAUUAAUUCCUAACAGUUCAUCCAGCAGAUCUUUACUGACAUCACUUAGGACAGGAGGCCUGGCAAAAGCUGGUUGUCCAAGAGGAAUUCAGGACCUUAAGAAGAGAACUGAAAGCAUCCAGGGUUCACUUUUUCCCCACUGCUUUUGUACCUGAAGGAACGGGACUUCUUUCGAGGACUAAAACAGAAAAAGCACUCUUCCUCUUUCGCCCUUUGCUUUUGUACCUGAAGGAACAGGACUCCUUUUGAGAACUAAAACAGGGGCUUCAAAUAUUCAGACAUCCAAUGGAUAGUCAGCCAUCUCCAGUGGAGCCUGGACAUUACUUGCCUUCAAUUGAGGUACCAAGCACUGGCAUCGGUGGGUGGCAUUUUGAAAAGUGGCAAAUUCAGAGUUUCCUUCAGCUUCAAUGGUUUGAUGACUCCUCCACCGCACCUCUCUCAGCGAUUCACGCAACACCAAAUGAAACAUUGAGAGCAAGACCUCGGCAAUACAACAAACCCAUGUGGAAUCGACUGUCUGUGUGAAAGGAAAAGAACACUCCGAGGCCAUAUAUUUGUGCUGAUCUUGUUGCGAUGUGCUCGAGAGUCUAAAGCAGAGAGCUCGUUCCCUCCCUUGAGGCCCCCUUUACUCCUUCCUCUCCCUCCCGCCCCACCCGCCCCGUCCU